rnacentral:lncRNA from 1 species
GCCUGAUGUCUUCAUUUGUCCAUGCCCCCUGAGCGGAGCCUGUGAUCUUCCCCCUUCUCCCCACAAAACCAGGUCACCAUUAUAUAACCAGGAAGUGCUCUGCCAACAUCUUGUCACUUGUUUGUGGUGACGUCCCACUGCCGAGGUGACGGGUCCUGCCAGUGCUUGCCAUCAUUAGUGGUCACGCAUGGCUGCCACAACUGGUCGCUUCGUUUCUCUCAGUUCUGCGAAACGAUGUGGACCCCGAGACCACCGCGCCCCCUCCCACUUCACCUCUGGCAUCAGACUGAGACGACCUCUUCCACCAACACCAGCACCAUGCUGGGAUUCAUUAAGAACAAGGACGUCUGGCCAAAUACUUCAUGCUGAAGCCGGGCGGAUGUAGGAUUUCGGCACCACGUCGAACCAACAUCCUAUCCUCACAGAGAGAGCCAACCCCCAAGUUCGGUGGGGCCCCGAAGAUGCCAAAAUAUUGAAUUAUUUCUCUGAUAUUGUAGAGCACGCUUUGAAAGACCCACUCUGCUAAAUAAUGGAAAAAAAAGAAAACUAACUAAUCAAUUUUUUUAAACACGCUGAGAUAGACAUUUAUGAUUACCUUUUAAUCUGAAGCCCCGAAUCCCAUGAUUGCUCAUAGGGGUAGGAGGAGGGGGGAUGUUCUGGGGGAGGGGUGGCCAGUGUGAGGCUGUAUAAAAGCAGUUAGCCUUUUGAUAAUGAAGCGAGGGAGUGGAGCAAGAAAAAAAUAAUGAAAUACGGAUAAAGGGUUAGGACAACUUCCUCGCCGAUUCACAUCAAUAUUCUUCUAUUAACAUUGAAUGAAGAGAGGGACCAUAAAAGAAGAACACAUUCUAAUCAAACACAACCACCUCCGAAGUCCACCACAACCUCAGGGACGCAGCAAAGGCACAGCAAAAUUGACCUCAACUCCAACAUCCAAAGUCAAAGUUGUAACUUGACUCCACAGAGAACAAGGCAGGCUACUGAUGAUUAAUAGAUAGUAGAUGAUUAAUUGAUAAUAGACAGACAGACAGAUAGACAAAUAGAAAGAUGUCACCAUGUUUAGGACAUAAUAAACACUCCC